CAAAAAGAGUCGAUUUUCGCGGGGUUUUCCUGUCAACUUCGCCACAGCCGCACGCGAACCCACGUCAUCACGUGACGCUCCACCUCCGCCCUUAACUCCCAGCCCAGCCGCGGUUUUCAGGAGCUCCGACUUUUUGCCGAGGCGGCAACCACGAGCGAAGCAAAGAGGGCGGGAGGCCUGACGUGCCUGCCCCGCCCCGCAGGAUCUGCCGCGCGCGGGUGUUAAGGCCCCACCCCAUCUUCAAAGGAAGAGGAAGCGGAAAGAGCGGGAUCUGCAGUGGGCUAGGAGUGGAAAGACUACAGAAUAAAUGGCAAGCAAGACAGUCUACAUUUAUAUAUAACCUUUAGAGAAGUACAGAUGACUUGUCUACUCAAUCCAAGCUAAAAUACCAGGGGGAACAACUUUACAUCUUGCUGAAUGGGACUGCCACUCACCGCUAGGAAUCGGGGAUCGACAGCAAACUCUGGAUGACCCUGUAACCACAUCUCCAGUUCAGCCCGGCGAGGGGCAUCCUCACCCACCAGCAAAGUACCAUCCACCUUAUUGAUGACAGGUAUCCGGGUCUCCAGGUCCACGUCAAGGUGAUUAGGCUCUUCCAUGCACUCCACCUCCAGCUGCAAACCCAGAAUCCACCCCCAUGAGCACAUACUCUUCUUGGAGCAGGGAGGGAGGGGGAGCAGAGCCAAUGGUAGUCAUGAGAUAACUCUAAUAUCUUUCUUCCCUCAAUCCCAACUACCUUUAUCAAUUACUGGGAAUAAAAAGACCUCAUCUAGUCAUCA